CUACGAAUUGUAAUCAUAAUAUGGGCGGCGGUGAAUCCUUUGCAGACGACUUGAAUGGGAACGGGGUACUGUAAGUGGUAGAGUAGCCUUGUUGCUACGAUCCACUGAGGUUAAGCCCUUGUUCUAAAGAUUUGU
rnacentral:rRNA from 1 species